rnacentral:rRNA from 1 species
GACGAACGCUGGCGGCGUGCUUAACACAUGCAAGUCGAACGGAAAGGCCCUGCUUUUGUGGGGUGCUCGAGUGGCGAACGGGUGAGUAACACGUGAGUAACCUGCCCUUGACUUUGGGAUAACUUCAGGAAACUGGGGCUAAUACCGGAUAGGAGCUCCUGCUGCAUGGUGGGGGUUGGAAAGUUUCGGCGGUUGGGGAUGGACUCGCGGCUUAUCAGCUUGUUGGUGGGGUAGUGGCUUACCAAGGCUUUGACGGGUAGCCGGCCUGAGAGGGUGACCGGCCACAUUGGGACUGAGAUACGGCCCAGACUCCUACGGGAGGCAGCAGUGGGGAAUAUUGCACAAUGGGCGGAAGCCUGAUGCAGCAACGCCGCGUGCGGGAUGACGGCCUUCGGGUUGUAAACCGCUUUCGCCUGUGACGAAGCGUGAGUGACGGUAAUGGGUAAAGAAGCACCGGCUAACUACGUGCCAGCAGCCGCGGUGAUACGUAGGGUGCGAGCGUUGUCCGGAUUUAUUGGGCGUAAAGGGCUCGUAGGUGGUUGAUCGCGUCGGAAGUGUAAUCUUGGGGCUUAACCCUGAGCGUGCUUUCGAUACGGGUUGACUUGAGGAAGGUAGGGGAGAAUGGAAUUCCUGGUGGAGCGGUGGAAUGCGCAGAUAUCAGGAGGAACACCAGUGGCGAAGGCGGUUCUCUGGGCCUUUCCUGACGCUGAGGAGCGAAAGCGUGGGGAGCGAACAGGCUUAGAUACCCUGGUAGUCCACGCUGUAAACGGUGGGUACUAGGUGUGGGGUCCAUUCCACGGGUUCCGUGCCGUAGCUAACGCUUUAAGUACCCCGCCUGGGGAGUACGGCCGCAAGGCUAAAACUCAAAGGAAUUGACGGGGCCCCGCACAAGCGGCGGAGCAUGCGGAUUAAUUCGAUGCAACGCGUAGAACCUUACCUGGGUUUGACAUGGAUCGGGAGUGCUCAGAGAUGGGUGUGCCUCUUUUGGGGUCGGUUCACAGGUGGUGCAUGCCUGUCGUCAGCUCGUGUCGUGAGAUGUUGGGUUAAGUCCCGCAACGAGCGCAACCCUUGUUCACUGUUGCCAGCACGUUAUGGUGGGGACUCAGUGGAGACCGCCGGGGUCAACUCGGAGGAAGGUGGGGAUGACGUCAAGCCAUCAUGCCCCUUAUGUCCAGGGCUUCACGCAUGCUACAAUGGCUGGUACAGAGAGUGGCGAGCCUGUGAGGGUGAGCGAAUCUCGGAAAGCCGGCCUCAGUUCGGAUUGGGGUCUGCAACUCGACCUCAUGAAGUCGGAGUCGCUAGUAAUCGCAGAUCAGCAACGCUGCGGUGAAUACGUUCCCGGGGCU